rnacentral:rRNA from 1 species
AGAUUGAACGCUGGCGGAAUGCUUUACACAUGCAAGUCGAGCGGCAGCGCGGGGGCAACCCUGGCGGCGAGCGGCGAACGGGUGAGUAAUACAUCGGAACAUGUCCAGUUGUGGGGGAUAGCCCGGCGAAAGCCGGAUUAAUACCGCAUGAGCUCGAGAGAGGAAAGCGGGGGACCGUAAGGCCUCGCGCGACUGGGUUGGCCGAUGUCCGAUUAGCUAGUUGGUGGGGUAAAGCCUACCAAGGCGAUGAUCGGUAGCUGGUCUGAGAGGAUGAUCAGCCACACUGGGACUGAGACACGGCCCAGACUCCUACGGGAGCAGCAGUGGGAUUUUGGACAGUGGGGCAACCGUGAUCAGCC